rnacentral:rRNA from 1 species
AGCGAACGCUGGCGGCAUGCCUAAUACAUGCAAGUCGAACGGAGAACAUAGUAGCAAUACUUUGUUCUUAGUGGCGAACGGGUGAGUAACGCGUUGGUGACCUGCCCCAAAGAGGGGGAUAACAGUCCGAAAGGACUGCUAAUACCCCAUAUGGUCUCAGGGAUUAGAUGCCCUGAGUCUAAAGGAGUAAUCCACUUUGGGAGGGACCUGCGUCCCAUCAGCUAGUUGGUAAGGUAACGGCCUACCAAGGCUUCGACGGGUAGGGGACCUGAGAGGGUGGCCCCCCACAAUGGAACUGAAACACGGUCCAUACACCUACGGGUGGCAGCAGUAGGGAAUAUUGGUAAUGGGCGAAAGCCCGAACCAGCAACGCCGCGUGUGCGAUGAAGGCCUUCGGGUCGUAAAGCACUUUUUGAGAAGAUGAUGAAGGACAGUACUCUCAGAAUAAGUCUCGGCUAACUACGUGCCAGCCGCCGCAGUAACAC